AGCUCCAAUAGCGUAUAUUAAAGUUGCUGCAGUUAAAAAGCUCGUAGUUGCAUUUCCGAGGCAAGGGAUUAGUCCGACCUUUGGUGGGUAUUUAAUCCUCUUGCCUCGUCCUUGAGUGGUGCUUCUUGGUAUUAAGUUAUCGAGGAGAUAGCCGCUCAUCGUUUACUGUGAGAAAAUUAGAGUGUUCAAAGCAGGCUUAUGCCGUUGAAUAUAUUAGCAUGGAAUAAUAAGAUAGGACCUCGGUACUAUUUGGUUGGUUUGAGAACCAAGGUAAUGAUGAAUAGGGACAGUUGGGGUAUUCGUAUUCAGUUGUCAGAGGUGAAAUUCUUAGAUUUACGGAAGACGAACUACUGCGAAAGCAUUUACCAAGGAUGUUUUCA
rnacentral:rRNA from 1 species